ensembl:misc_RNA Metazoa_SRP Metazoan signal recognition particle RNA
GCUGGAUGCGGUGGCUCACAUCUGUAAUCCCAGCACUUUGGGAGGCUGAGGUGGGUGGAUCACCUGAGGCCAGGAGUUUGAGACCAGCCUGGCCAAACAUGGUGAGACCCCACCUCUA